rnacentral:rRNA from 1 species
UACGGAGGUUGCAAGCGUUGUCCGGAUUUACUGGGUGUAAAGGGGGCGCAGGCGGGAAGCUAAGUUGGAUGUGAAAUACCGGGGCUCAACUCCGGAGCUGCAUCCAAAACUGGUUUUCUUGAGUGGAGUAGAGGCAAGCGGAAUUCCGAGUGUAGCGGUGAAAUGCGUAGAUAUUCGGAGGAACACCAGUGGCGAAGGCGGCUUGCUGGGCUCUAACUGACGCUGAGGCCCGAAAGCGUGGGGAGCAAACAGGAUUAGAUACUCGCGUAGU